UGCGACCUCAGGUCGGCGGGGCUA
rnacentral:rRNA from 1 species